AGAGUUUGAUCCUGGCUCAGAAUGAACGCUGGCGGCGUGCUUAACACAUGCAAGUCGAACGAGAACGGGUCUAGCUUGCUAGACUGUCAGCUAAGUGGCGCACGGGUGAGUAAUGUAUAGGUAACCUGCCCCCUAGAGCGGGAUAACGUCUGGAAACGGACGCUAAUACUGCAUACUCCUUCUUUUCACAAGAAGAGAAGGGAAAUGAAUUUCGCUAGGGGAUGGGCCUUUAUUGUAUCAGCUAGUUGGUGGGGUAACGGCCUACCAAGGCUAUGACACAUAGCUGAUCUGAGAGGAUGAUCAGCCACACUGGUACUGAGACACGGACCAGACUCCUACGGGAGGCAGCAGUGGGGAAUAUUGCACAAUGGGGGAAACCCUGAUGCAGCAACGCCGCGUGGAGGAUGACACAUUUCGGUGCGUAAACUCCUUUUAUAGGUCAAGAUAAUGACGGUAGCCUAUGAAUAAGCACCGGCUAACUCCGUGCCAGCAGCCGCGGUAAUACGGAGGGUGCAAGCGUUAUUCGGAAUCACUGGGCGUAAAGAGCAUGUAGGCGGGUUCAUAAGUCAGGUGUGAAAUCCUAUGGCUCAACCAUAGAACUGCACUUGAAACUGUGAACCUAGAGUAUGGAAGGGGCAGAUGGAAUUAGUGGUGUAGGGGUAAAAUCCGUAGAGAUCACUAGGAAUACCGAAAGCGAAGGCGAUCUGCUGGUACAUUACUGACGCUAAGAUGCGAAAGCGUGGGGAGCAAACAGGAUUAGAUACCCUGGUAGUCCACGCCCUAAACGAUGAAUGCUAGUCGUCGGGAAGCUUGUCUUUUCGGUGAUGCAGUUAACACAUUAAGCAUUCCGCCUGGGGAGUACGGUCGCAAGAUUAAAACUCAAAGGAAUAGACGGGGACCCGCACAAGUGGUGGAGCAUGUGGUUUAAUUCGAAGAUACGCGAAGAACCUUACCUGGACUUGACAUACCAAGAAUCCCGUAGAGAUACAGGAGUGCCUGCUUGCAGGAAUUUGGAUACAGGUGCUGCACGGCUGUCGUCAGCUCGUGUCGUGAGAUGUUGGGUUAAGUCCCGCAACGAGCGCAACCCUCGUCGUUAGUUGCUAACAGUUCGGCUGAGCACUCUAGCGAGACUGCCUUCGCAAGGAGGAGGAAGGUGAGGACGACGUCAAGUCAUCAUGGCCCUUAUGUCCAGGGCGACACACGUGCUACAAUGGGGCGUACAGAGAGCUGCGAUACCGCGAGGUGGAGCCAAUCUCUAAAGCGUCUCUCAGUUCGGAUAACACUCUGCAACUCGAGUGUUUGAAGCUGGAAUCACUAGUAAUCGCGGAUCAGCCAUGCCGCGGUGAAUACGUUCCCGGGUCUUGUACUCACCGCCCGUCACACCAUGGGAGUUGAUUUCACCCGAAGCCGGGAAGCCAACCUUUUGGGGGCUACCGUCCACGGUGGAAUUAGCGACUGGGGUGAAGUCGUAACAAGGUAACCGUAGGAGAACCUGCGGCUGAUCACCUCCUU
rnacentral:rRNA from 1 species